UGUCCUAAGAUGAGCUCAACGAGAAC
rnacentral:snRNA from 1 species